AGUAUCAUUAAGUGAAUACAUAGCUUAAUGAGGGGAACUCAGGGAACUGAAACAUCUAAGUACCUGAAGGAAGAGAAAGAAAUUCGAUUCCGUAAGUAGCGGCGAGCGAACGCGGAUUAGCCCAAACUAAUAAAGUUUUCUUUAUUGGGGUUGCGGACAUAUCAUAACGAAGAGGUAUCGUAAUUGAAGAGGUUUGGAAAGACCCACCACAGAAGGUAAUAGUCCUGUAUGUUAAACGAGAAGACUUUAGAUAUGAUCCAGAGUACCACGGGACACGUGAAACCCUGUGGGAAGCAGGAGGGACCACCCUCCAAGGCUAAAUACUACCUAGUGACCGAUAGCGUAUAGUACCGUGAGGGAAAGGUGAAAAGAACCCCGGGAGGGGAGUGAAAUAGAACCUGAAACCCUGCACUUACAAGCUGUGGAAGCACAUUUCUUGUGUGACCGCGUACUUUUUGUAGAACGGGCCAACGAGUUACGUUAAGUAGCAAGGUUAAGCACUUAAGGUGUGGAGCCGUAGCGAAAGCGAGUUUUAACUGAGCGUUCAGUUACUUGACGUAGACCCGAAACCGGGCGACCUACCCAUGAGCAGGAUGAAGCGAAAGUAAAAUUUCGUGGAGGUCCGAACCCACGGGCGUUGAAAAGCUCGGGGAUGACUUGUGGGUAGCGGUGAAAUUCCAAUCGAGCCCGGAGAUAGCUGGUUCUCCCCGAAAUAGCUUUAGGGCUAGCCUCAAGGUGAGAGAUACGGAGGUAGAGCACUGAAUGUCCUAGGGG
rnacentral:rRNA from 1 species